GGAGAAGAGAAAAAUAGCUUAUUCAGACUGAUUAAAGUGACAGUGUGUGUGUGUAUUUGGGAGGGGGGAGUGGGAGAGUCCGUCAGAGGGUCAGAGUUCAGUGGUGCUUGGGGCAAAAGAGGGGA